CAGUCGCCGCGGUAAUACGAAGGGUGCAAGCGUUACUCGGAACUACUGGGCGUAAAGCGUGCGUAGGUGGUUGUGUAAGACAGGUGUGGAAUCCCCGGGCUUAACCUGGGAACUGCGCUUGUGACUGCACAGCUAGAGUAUGGCAGAGGGGGGUGGAAUUCCACGUGUAGCAGUGAAAUGCGUAGAGAUGUGGAGGAACACCGAUGGCGAAGGCAGCCCCCUGGGCCAAUACUGACGCUCAUGCACGAAAGCGUGGGGAGCAAACAGGAUUAGAUACCCGCGUAGUCCCUGUCUCUUAUAA
rnacentral:rRNA from 1 species